ACUUCAGCAGUGGUUCUUUUUUUCAGCCCUGGAGGUUGCUCUUGAUCAAACACUUCUCUCCUGAAAUGAAAGAAGACUAAAGCCAGCAGGCAGUUAGCUUAGCUUAGCAUAAACAUUGAAUAAGAAAAAGCCUGGCUCCAUCCAAAAGCGGUCAUCUCGAGGUGCUUUAGAUUGGCUUCUAUAUUCUGAAGAUCUAAAAGUUUCUGGAGAAGAGGACCCAAGCGUAGGAGGACGAGGAAGUGGUGAGUAAAAUCCUAGAUGUAAAUUAGACAGUCAGUAGGACAACCAGUUCCAGCAAGAAGCAGGCAAAGUGCAUCGUCGAGGCAAAAGGUCAUACACCGGGAGAACUCCACUAAGAACACAAGGAUAUAAAAAUACACAAGAAAAAUCUGAACUGUGAGAAAAAUAAAAGAAAUGCAAAGAAGGAAUCUGGCUAAAAAUCUCAAUUAAUCAAAGUCUCCUUAGUUAAUCAGACUUUUGUUAGCAACAUGUAUCAAAUCUGACAUAUACCACUGAUUAUAACUUAGUACACUGCCCAAAAUAUUAAGAGAACAGUCGAGCAUCACUACGUAGCACAAAUCCAGUAAAACUU
rnacentral:lncRNA from 1 species